rnacentral:tRNA from 1 species
UUAAUGAUAGUCCAAAACAAGACCUCUCACUGUUAAUGAGAAAAUAAAUUAUAUUUUCAUUAAA